rnacentral:rRNA from 1 species
UACGUAGGGUGCGAGCGUUGUCCGGAAUUAUUGGGCGUAAAGGGCUCGUAGGCGGUCUGUUGCGUCGGGAGUGAAAACUCAGGGCUUAACCCUGAGCCUGCUUCCGAUACGGGCAGACUAGAGGUAUGCAGGGGAGAACGGAAUUCCUGGUGUAGCGGUGAAAUGCGCAGAUAUCAGGAGGAACACCGGUGGCGAAGGCGGGUCUCUGGGCCGAAAUUGACGCUGAGGAGCGAAAGCGUGGGGAGCAAACAGG